AAUGCACGCAAGUGCGAUGGGGGGACUCCGAGUGCAGGCUCCUCACAAAGGAGUCUGCUUUUCUGUACUGUAAGGAGGUACAGGAACAAGGGGUGGGCAAGACGGCUGCCAGCCGCCGCGGUAAUAGCCGCACCCCAAGUGGUGACCAGUAUUAUUGGGCUUAAAGUGUUCGUAGCCGGACCUGCAAGUCUGCUGUGAAAUCCAAGCGCUCAACGUUUGGAAGUGCAGUGGAUACUGCAGGUCUAGGGACCGGACGGCGUCGAGGCUAUUCCAUGGGUAGGAGUGAAAUCCUAAAAUCCAUGGAGGAGCACCUGUGGCGAAAGCGCUCGGCGAGUACGGAUCCGACGGUGAGGAACGAAAGCUAGGGGAGCAAAGCGGAUUAGAUACCCGCGUAGUCCUAGCCGUUAACAUUGUGCAUUUGAUGUCGGCUAACCUUCGAGGUUAGCCGGUGCCGAAGUGAAAACGUUAAAUGCACCGCCUGGGUAGUACGGUCGCAAGGCUGAAACUUAAAGGAAUUGGCGGGGGAGCACGGUCAU
rnacentral:rRNA from 1 species